rnacentral:rRNA from 1 species
UGGGGAAUAUUGCACAAUGGGCGGAAGCCUGAUGCAGCAACGCCGCGUGCGGGAUGACGGCCUUCGGGUUGUAAACCGCUUUCGCCUGUGACGAAGCGUGAGUGACGGUAAUGGGUAAAGAAGCACCGGCUAACUACGUGCCAGCAGCCGCGGUGAUACGUAGGGUGCGAGCGUUGUCCGGAUUUAUUGGGCGUAAAGGGCUCGUAGGUGGUUGAUCGCGUCGGAAGUGUAAUCUUGGGGCUUAACCCUGAGCGUGCUUUCGAUACGGGUUGACUUGAGGAAGGUAGGGGAGAAUGGAAUUCCUGGUGGAGCGGUGGAAUGCGCAGAUAUCAGGAGGAACACCAGUGGCGAAGGCGGUUCUCUGGGCCUUUCCUGACGCUCAGGUGCGAAGGCGUGGGGAGCAAACA